rnacentral:rRNA from 1 species
AACCAGUACCGUGAGGGAAAGGCGAAAAGAACCCCGGCGAGGGGAGUGAAAAAGAACCUGAAACCGUGUACGUACAAGCAGUGGGAGCCUCUUUUAUGGGGUGACUGCGUACCUUUUGUAUAAUGGGUCAGCGACUUAUAUUCUGUAGCAAGGUUAACCGAAUAGGGGAGCCGAAGGGAAACCGAGUCUUAACCGGGCGUUAAGUUGCAGGGUAUAGACCCGAAACCCGGUGAUCUAGCCAUGGGCAGGUUGAAGGUUGGGUAACACUAACUGGAGGACCGAACCGACUAAUGUUGAAAAAUUAGCGGAUGACUUGUGGCUGGGGGUGAAAGGCCAAUCAAACCGGGAGAUAGCUGGUUCUCCCCGAAAGCUAUUUAGGUAGCGCCUCGUGAAUUCAUCUCCGGGGGUAGAGCACUGUUUCGGCAAGGGGGUCAUCCCGACUUACCAACCCGAUGCAAACUGCGAAUACCGGAGAAUGUUAUCACGGGAGACACACGGCGGGUGCUAACGUCCGUCGUGAAGAGGGAAACAACCCAGACCGCCAGCUAAGGUCCCAAAGUCAUGGUUAAGUGGGAAACGAUGUGGGAAGGCCCAGACAGCCAGGAUGUUGGCUUAGAAGCAGCCAUCAUUUAAAGAAAGCGUAAUAGCUCACUGGUCGAGUCGGCCUGCGCGGAAGAUGUAACGGGGCUAAACCAUGCACCGAAGCUGCGGCAGCGACACUGUGUGUUGUUGGGUAGGGGAGCGU